UACGGAGGGUGCGAGCGUUGUCCGGAAUCACUGGGCGUAAAGGGCGCGUAGGCGGCCACCGCAAGUCGGUUGUGAAAUCUCCGGGCUUAACCCGGAAAGGUCAAUCGAUACUGCGGGGCUAGAGUGCAGAAGGGGCAACUGGAAUUCUCGGUGUAGCGGUGAAAUGCGUAGAUAUCAGGAGGAACACCGGUGGCGAAGGCGCACAUCUGGCCCGAUACUGACGCUGAAGCGCGAAAGCUAGGGGAGCAAACGGG
rnacentral:rRNA from 1 species